GUAGGGAAUCUUGCGCAAUGGGCGAAAGCCUGACGCAGCCAUGCCGCGUGAAUGAUGAAGGUCUUAGGAUUGUAAAAUUCUUUCACCGGGGACGAUAAUGACGGUACCCGGAGAAGAAGCCCCGGCUAACUUCGUGCCAGCAGCCGCGGUAAUACGAAGGGGGCUAGCGUUGCUCGGAAUUACUGGGCGUAAAGGGAGCGUAGGCGGAUAGUUUAGUCAGAGGUGAAAGCCCAGGGCUCAACCUUGGAAUUGCCUUUGAUACUGGCUGUCUUGAGUACGGGAGAGGUGAGUGGAACUCCGAGUGUAGAGGUGAAAUUCGUAGAUAUUCGGAAGAACACCAGUGGCGAAGGCGACUCACUGGCCCGUUACUGACGCGGAGGCGCGAAAGCGUGGGGAGCAAACAGGAUUAGAAACCCUGGUAGUCC
rnacentral:rRNA from 1 species